UCGAUCACCUCCGCCGCGUCUACACUGCACUUGACAACCACUGAAGCUUAAUCACGAUUAUACAAGAAAAUCGAAUUUGCGAGGUUUGACUUGACUAGCAAUAAAUCUGGCAGAACUUAACUUCCGUUUAAGCUGUUUACCGCCGUGUAAAUUAGGUGUGGCAAGCCAACUUCUGCAAGAUUUACAUAGUGGUGACAGCUUGCGGAAGUAACCUUCUGCAAGUUUUAUUGCUAGUCUAAACCUCGCUAUAAAGAAUAUAAUUAGCCUUCAAAUUAGUUUCAAAAAAUAGAUCUUUGACAAAACUCAGAAGAACUAUUGCUUUUGCAAGCAAAAAAAAAAAGAUUUCCCUUAUUUCAGAAUAGUAAAAUGUUUGCUAUAUUGCUAGGUGUAUAAAAAGCAAACUAAGCAAACCCUGGUCUUCUUAAUAUAAAUAAAUAAAUAAAUCAGUUGUUUAUUCUCCCAGAUUCUUCAAUUCUUGCAUCUAAGAGUAUGAAGAAGUCUUCAGACCCUCUGCCAGACCUGGAGACGUUCCGCGCGUCGCGCAGCAAGACCAAGAGCUCCGUGAAGGCGGUUGUUUCAGACGCGACGGGGGUACUCCCUGCACUGCUGGCUGCCCGCCGACGAGCCCACGCCCGUGCGGAGCAGUAACGGGCUGUCGGUGCUGGGCUGCGCCAUCGUCCCGGAGCUGAAGCCGCGCGCGCGCACCAUGAGCGAGCGCGACCUCACGCGCGCCUACACGCCGCGCCACUUCCUGCGCUCCUAGCGCGCCAGCCGCGCCAGCCGCGCCAGCCGCACCAGCCGCGCGCCCGCUGCCUCCUAGUGUCGCUUGCUGCUAGCCAGGAAGCUAACAGUAGCCACCUCGAAAACUACUUUCAACAACAAAUCAAGAGAAUGUACCCGUUUAUACUUACGAGUAUAUCUAUUAAGAAUCUAUUCUCGAACUUAUUAAUUUCA